rnacentral:rRNA from 1 species
GACGAACGCUGGCGGCGUGCCUAACACCUGCAAGUCGAGCGGUAAGGCCUUUCGGGGUACACGAGCGGCGAACGGGUGAGUAACACGUGGGUGAUCUGCCUCGCACUCUGGGAUAAGCCUGGGAAACUGGGUCUAAUACCGGAUAGGACCUUCGGUCGCAUGGCCUUGGGUGGAAAGAUUUAUCGGUGUGAGAUGGGCCCGCGGCCUAUCAGCUUGUUGGUGGGGUAAUGGCCUACCAAGGCGACGACGGGUAGCCGGCCUGAGAGGGCGACCGGCCACACUGGGACUGAGACACGGCCCAGACUCCUACGGGAGGCAGCAGUGGGGAAUAUUGCACAAUGGGCGGAAGCCUGAUGCAGCGACGCCGCGUGAGGGAUGACGGCCUUCGGGUUGUAAACCUCUUUCGACAGGGACGAAGCGCAAGUGACGGUACCUGUAGAAGAAGCACCGGCCAACUACGUGCCAGCAGCCGCGGUAAAAC